AGCGAACGCUGGCGGCAGGCCUAACACAUGCAAGUCGAACGAACUCUUCGGAGUUAGUGGCGGACGGGUGAGUAACACGUGGGAACGUGCCUUUUGGUUCGGAAUAACUCAGGGAAACUUGUGCUAAUACCGAAUGUGCCCUUCGGGGGAAAGAUUUAUCGCCAUUAGAGCGGCCCGCGUCUGAUUAGCUAGUUGGUGAGGUAACGGCUCACCAAGGCGACGAUCAGUAGCUGGUCUGAGAGGAUGACCAGCCACACUGGGACUGCGACACGGCCCAGACUCCGACGGGAGGCAGCAGUGGGGAAUCUUGCGCAAUGGGCGAAAGUCUGACGCAGCCAUGCCGCGUGAAUGAUGAAGGUCUUAGGAUUGUAAAAUUCUUUCACCGGGGACGAUAAUGACGGUACCCGGAGAAGAAGCCCCGGCUAACUUCGUG
rnacentral:rRNA from 1 species